rnacentral:rRNA from 1 species
UACGUAGGUGGCAAGCGUUGUCCGGAUUUACUGGGCGUAAAGAGCGCGCAGGCGGUCUUGUAAGUCGAAUGUGAAAGCCCCGGGCUCAACCUGGGAAUUGCAUUCGAGACUGCUCUGCUAGGGUGCGGAAGAGGGAAGCGGAAUUUCCGGUGUAGCGGUGAAAUGCGUAGAUAUCGGAAGGAACACCAGUGGCGAAAGCGGCUUCCUGGUCCAGCACCGACGUUCAGGCACGAAAGCGUGGGGAGCAAACAGG